rnacentral:misc_RNA from 1 species
AGGAAGUUUAGGUUUCUAUUAUUUGGGAAUUCUAUUGUUAUUUUGAAUAUUUAAAAAGUUAUAUUAGGUUUAGAAUUUCCUAUUGUUAUUAGAAGAUCACUGAUGUUUCUUCUUUAACGCUGCUGUGUUUUUUCUAUCACUGUUGUCGUACACAGCAUAUAUUGGCUUCUACAUGACAUUUCAAAUCUCUCUAAUGGAUUGUGAAUUUUGAAUUUGUUUAUUUCAUUUUCUUUGGGAAAUCCAUACUUUUGCUUCUAUAUAUGAAAAGUAUAUAUUCCAGCAUGUAUGAAGAUGGGAGGUUUUCUUAUUUUCCUGAGAUCUUACUGUAACAAGUAACUGUAUUACUUCUGAUAUGGGGUCUAGAUGACUUAUAGAAAGCUCUUCAAACUCCAUUGCCAUUUUGUAUUUGGUUUUGUAUACUAGGAACCUCUGUUCCUUCAUUCAAGAAGGUGUUCACUGAGGUUGGGAUCUCUCACUUGUGUGUUGAAGCAAUGAAGCUUCAUUCCGCAAAUAACAGUUUUGUGAUCGAAUUUUUAGUCUUUAAAGAAAUAGUUCUAAGCAUGGCCAGCGCAUUUCUGGCCCUUUAUAAGUUAACUAUAAAAUAUUGCAUAACUAAUUAUCUAAACAAGUUAAUGGUCAUUUUUAAUAUGUAAGUUCUAUAAACUUUUCUUCUGAAUUCUAAAGGUCUGUCAUUUUCCAUUGAUACAGUUCGUACCAGAGUGUGUUUAUGUAAUUACGUUCAAUAUGCCUUAUAAAAUUGAAUUAUGUAAUAAAAGUUUGGAUGAUGUAGGUGGAACCUCCACCAACAAGAA